AUGCUGUGUGCUGGGCCUGGAAGCCAGGACCAUAGCGACGUCCCUGUGUCAGAGAGUCCCCACGUGACAUCACAUGUCCCGGAGUGAUGUCAUGCAUGUCAGAUGGUCCCUGAGUGAUGUCACGUGUCAUAGUCUGAGUGACGUCACACAUGUCAGUCCACGAGUGAUUUCACGCAUGUCAGAAAGUCCCCAAGCAAUGUCACGUGUGUCAGUCUCUGAGCGAUGUAACACGUCAGAUGGUCCCUGAGUGAUGUCAUGCAUGUCAGAUCCCAAAUGACAUUACACAUGCCAGAUAGUCCCUGAGUGACAUGCAUGUCAUUCCCAAGUGAUGUCACGCGUGUGAGGUAGUUGCAGAGUGAUGGCAUGCGCGUCAUAGAGUUCCUGAGCGGCGUCACGUGUGUCGUGUGUGGUGUCACGCAUGUUAGGUAGUUGCAGAGUGAUGCGUGUCAUAGAGUUCCUGAGCGGCGUCACGUGUGUCGUGUGUGGUGUCACGCAUGUUAGGUAGUUGCAGAGUGAUGCGUGUCAUAGAGUUCCUGAGCGGCGUCACGUGUGUCGUGUGGUGUCACACGUGUUAGGUAGUUGCAGAGUGAUGUGUGUCAUAGAGUUCCUGAGCGGCGUCACGUGUGUUGUGUGUGGUGUCACGCAUGUUAGGUAGUUGCAGAGUGAUGUGCGUCGUAGAGUUCCUGAGCGGCGUCACGUGUGUCGUGUGUGGUGUCACGCAUGUUAGGUAGUUGCAGAGUGAUGCGUGUCAUAGAGUUCCUGAGCGGCGUCACGUGUGUCAUGUGUGGUGUCACGCGUGUUAGGUAGUUGCAGAGUGAUGCGUGUCAUAGAGUUCCUGAGCGGCGUCACGUGUGUCGUGUGUGGUGUCACGCAUGUUAGGUAGUUGCAGAGUGAUGUGUGUCAUAGAGUUCCUGAGCGGCAUCACGUGUGUCAUGUGUGAUGUCACGUGUGUUAGGUAGUUGCAGAGUGAUGUGUGUCAUAGAGUUCCUGAGCGGCGUCACGUGUGUCGUGUGUGAUGUCACGCGUGUUAGGUAGUUGCAGAGUGAUGUGUGUCAUAGAGUUCCUGAGCGGCAUCACGUGUGUCAUGUGUGGUGUCACGUGUGUUAGGUAGUUGCAGAGUGAUGUGUGUCAUAGAGUUCCUGAGCGGCGUCACGUGUGUCGUGUGUGGUGUCACGCAUGUUAGGCCUCUGAGUUUUCACUGUGACUUUCUGUGCACAGCUGCUCAGCUUGCAUGCACAGGAGGGUGACCGGCAGGUAGUGGUGGGGGCAGGCGGCCAGGGCAGCAUGGUGGUCUGGGUCGUGGGGACAUGGGGGUGCGCUCAGUGUCCAGAGCUGUUCCCAUGCGUGGGCUCAGUGUCCAGAGCUGUCCCUGUGUGUGGGCUCAGUGUCCAGAGCUGCUUCCGUGAGUGGGCUCAGUGUCCAGAGCUGUUCCUGUGCGUGGGCCAUGCUGGUGGCCGCAGCCCUGGUGGUCUGGAACCUCGCUGGGGACCCGGUGUUUCCCGGGGCCACUGUUUUCUUCUGGUUUCAAGCCAAUAAAAUGUUAAAAUUCA